UCGCAUUACACGUUCAACCUUUGAACUUGAACCAACUCCAUACGUGUAGCAACAAAAUUAACCAAGUGACACCAUGAAUCGAGUAUUGAAACGAGAAGGUAGCAGGGAACUCACCAGAUUGAGAUCGUGACACAGUGGCAAAACAGGUAUCACACUUCUUCUUGAUAUGCUUCCUCUUCUUCCUCACAAGAUCUCUUGUUGUUGAUGUGUUCUUGGAGUGUUGCUUCGAGUGAGAUGUAAUGGAUGUAGAAACUUUGAUGUGUGCAUGUGAUGCAGAGUACUAUGAACCUGAUGCAGAGGAUCGAGCUUAGUGGAGAGGAUUGAGAACUUAUGCAGAGCUUGAGCUUUAUGAACUUGGUGAAGAAUGAGCUCGAGAUUCUGCAGAGAACUUGAGAUUGUACAUAGCUAUGAACUAAAUGUAGAGAAUUGAGAAGAAAAUGAGAUUCUGGACUUGGUGCAGAAUGAGCUAGCCCGCCCGAGAUAUUGAGCUUGGUAAGUGCUUUUAUAACCUUCUAACCCUGAUGAUUCUGUUACUUUCUCUCUCUUCAUCUAUUAUGUUAUAGUUUGUUUGGUUGUUAGGAUUAGUUUCCUUUAGUUAUGAAAAUAGUUAGACAGCUGGACAAUUAGGUUAGACCCUUAUGAGUUAGUUCUAGUUAUAGUGACCUGUCAUGCUAGCCAAAUAAUGAGAGGGUUAAUUGUGUUGCCCAUUCUGGUAGGAUGAUAUUUAUCAGUUAUGAUGAUUUUUGUAGAGUUGUGUAACUUGUUAAUUCCCAAUUGGUUUAUGUCAAAUUAUUUAUCAUGUUAACCAAUUUUCUUCCCUUUUCCUUCUGUAAUGCCUUGCUGAUUGAAUCAUGUUGUACUUGUGACUCUUAGGGAAGACUAUUUUCCAUGCUAUGCUUAUUAAUUGCUCUAUUAUACUGGCCUUCAUGCUACUUUAUGAUGAUGUUUAUUGUUAAUGGCUAUUGCUUUGCAGGUCUGGUAUUGAUGAACUGUUGUUGCUACUAGAGAACAAGUUAUUUCACAUGAGCUUCCUUCCACUGCAGAGCAAAAUGAUGAGUUCAUUCUUGGUUAAGGUACUAAAGAAACAAGUCCUCAUCAUCCUUAUGUCCUUGACUUCAGAGCAUGCGACAAGACAGAUUCUGCAUCAAGAAAUUCGGGGAGCUCUGUUACUGUGGGUUUCACCUUUGAGCUAGCUUCACUUCACUUUUUGAGCAGUGCAUAAUAUUUACAUUUGUUGCAAUAUGCGAAUGUCUAUUCAAAGCCUUUAUUGCCACACUUAAGACAAACAGAUACUUGAGGUAACUAAAUUAUCCCCAUUGCCACUUUCGCUUGAGAACUUUCAUCUGCAAUUUCAUUUUCAGUACUGAUCUCUGAAGCGGCAUUAAUCUCCAUUGAGUUUGAAGGUUGUUAAUCAUUUUGAUGAACAAUAUGGUGUUGAAUCUCAUUCUGAACUAUUCUUUCUGACAUUUCUGUCUAUUUAACAUCUAUUUGCAUAG
rnacentral:lncRNA from 1 species